AGCAGCCGCGGUAAUUCCAGCUCCAAUAGCGUAUAUUAAAGUUGUUGCAGUUAAAAAGCUCGUAGUUGAAUUUCGGGGUUAGUAGGUUGGUCAUGCCACUGGUAUGUACUGGUCUCACUGAUUCCUCCUUCCUGAUGAGACGUAAUGCCAUUAAUUUGGUGUUGCGAGGAAUCUGGACUGUUACUUUGAAAAAAUUAGAGUGUUUAAAGCAGGCUAACGCUUGAAUACAUUAGCAUGGAAUAAUGAAAUAGGACGUUCGAUCUUAUUUUGUUGGUUUCUAGGAUUGACGUAAUGAUUAAUAGGGAUAGUUGGGGGCAUUAGUAUUCAAUUGUCAGAGGUGAAAUUCUUGGAUUUAUUGGAGACUAACUACUGCGAAAGCAUUUGUCCAAGGAUAUUUUCAUUAAUCAAGAACGAAAGUUAGGGGAUCGAAGACGAUCAGAUACCGUCGUAGUCUUAACCAUAAACUAUGCCGACUAGGGAUCGGAUGAUGUUAAUUUUUUAAUGUACUCAUUC
rnacentral:rRNA from 1 species